UCCUAGCACGACCUGUAAAUCCGAGUGGUUUCUGCUAAAGAAACCUUUUGUCAGUCCUAGAAACACUAACGAAUAAGGGGUGGGCAAGUUCUGGUGUCAGCCGCCGCGGUAAAACCAGCACCUCAAGUGGUCAGGAUGAUUAUUGGGCCUAAAGCAUCCGUAGCUCGUUUUGUAAGUUUUCGGUUAAAUCCAUGCGCUUAACGUAUGGGCUGCCGGGAAUACUGCAUAACUAGGAAGUGGGAGAGGUAGACGGUACUCGGUAGGAAGGGGUAAAAUCCUUUGAUCUAUUGAUGACCACCUGUGGCGAAGGCGGUCUACCAGAACACGUUCGACGGUGAGGGAUGAAAGCUGGGGGAGCAAACCGGAUUAGAUACCCGGGUAGUCCCAGCUGUAAACUAUGCAAACUCAGUGAUGCAUUGGCUUAUGGCCAAUGCAGUGCUGCAGGGAAGCCGUUAAGUUUGCCGCCUGGGAAGUACGUACGCAAGUAUGAAACUUAAAGGAAUUGGCG
rnacentral:rRNA from 1 species